CCUACGGGUGGCUGCAGUGGGGAAUAUUGCACAAUGGAGGAAACCCUGAUGCAGCGACGCCGCGUUAGUGAGGAAGUAUUUCGGUAUGUAAAGCUCUAUCAGCAUGUAAGAAAAUGACGGUACCUGACUCAGGAGCCGCGUCUAACUACGUGCCAGCAGCCGCGGUAAUACGUAGGGGGCAAGCGUUAUCCGGAUUUACUGGGUGUAAAGGGAGCGUAGACGGACUUGCAAGGCUGAUGUGAAAAGCCGGGGCCCAACCCCGGAACUGCAUUGGAAACUGUAUAUCUAGAGUGUCGGAGAGGCAAGUGGAAUUCCUGGGGUAGCGGUGAAAUGCGUAGAUAUCAGGAGGAACACGAGUGGCGAAGGCGGCUUGCUGGACGAUGACUGACGUUGAGGCUCGAAAGCGUGGGGAGCAAACAGGAUUAGAUACCCCAGUAGUC
rnacentral:rRNA from 1 species